rnacentral:rRNA from 1 species
CAAGUCGAGCGGCAGCGCGGGGCAACCUGGCGGCGAGCGGCGAACGGGUGAGUAAUGCAUCGGAACAUGUCCAUGUCGUGGGGGAUAGCCCGGCGAAAGCCGGAUUAAUACCGCAUACGCCCGAGAGGGGAAAGUGGGGGACCGCAAGGCCUCACGCGAUUGGGUUGGCCGAUGUCCGAUUAGCUAGUUGGUGGGGUAAAGGCUUACCAAGGCGAUGAUCGGUAGCUGGUCUGAGAGGAUGAUCAGCCACACUGGGACUGAGACACGGCCCAGACUCCUACGGGAGGCAGCAGUGGGGAAUUUUGGACAAUGGGGGCAACCCUGAUCCAGCCAUUCCGCGUGAGUGAAGAAGGCCUUCGGGUUGUAAAGCUCUUUUGUCCGGAACGAAACGGUGAGCGUGAAUAUCGCUCGCUACUGACGGUACCGGAAGAAUAAGCACCGGCUAACUACGUGCCAGCAGCCGCGGUAAUACGUAGGGUGCGAGCGUUAAUCGGAAUUACUGGGCGUAAAGCGUGCGCAGGCGGUUUUGUAAGCCAGAUGUGAAAUCCCCGGGCUUAACCUGGGAAUGGCAUUUGGGACUGCAAGGCUUGAGUUUGGCAGAGGAGACUGGAAUUCCUGGUGUAGCAGUGAAAUGCGUAGAUAUCAGGAGGAAUACCGAUGGCGAAGGCAGGUCUCUGGGCUAGAACUGACGCUCAUGCACGAAAGCGUGGGGAGCAAACAGGAUUAGAUACCCUGGUAGUCCACGCCCUAAACGAUGUCGACUGGUUGUUGGGGGGUUUGACACUCUCAGUAACGAAGCUAACGCGUGAAAGUCGACCGCCCUGGGGGAGUA